GCUAUUAAUUUUAUAAGUCAUUCCAAACAGCCUCUCACCUGGGUUGCUCCACCUCCCCCAACAGCAGCUGGUGGUGGAGCACCCUUUUAGCUGAUGAGAAGCCCUCAAUCACUGCCAGCUGCACGCUGCCCCUGAACUCCAUCUUGCAACUCCCACCUUCCCAGAAGAUGUUACACAGCCGUGCUUUAGUGAGCUAUCAAUUAAGGGAAUGUAGCUAUCCUAAGGUGUGUCUGAGGAAGGUUCUGCCCCCACCCCGUUUCCUUAGCACUGUACUACACGUUUUUAUGAAGCUUGCAACCUGAAUGCUUCUUGAGUUGCAGAGAUAAUUCUUCUGGUGAGCCCUUGGGCCGCCUCUGAGACUCUGGCACUGAAAGAGUGGAGCAACAGGCUGCUAUCCGAGGCAGGGAGAGGUGCACUGUGGCUGAUUAUCUUCCCAUGAAGAACAAGAAAUCUUUUCUGAUG
ensembl:lncRNA